rnacentral:misc_RNA from 1 species
AAGUCGUAACAAGGUCUCCGUUGGUGAACCAGCGGAGGGAUCAUUACUGAGUUAUUAAAACUCCAAACCCUUUGUGAACCUUACUGUCGUUGCCUCGGCGUGAGCUACGGCUACCCUGUAGUUACCCUAUAGCUACCCUGCAGCUACCCUAUAGUUGACCAGUAGCUACCCUGUAGUUACCCUAUAGCUACCCUGCAGCUACCCUAUAGUUGACUAGUAGCUACCCUGUAGCCGGCUUAUGGCCCGCCGAAGGACCGCUAAACUCUUGUUUUUUACCACUGUUUCUCUGAAUUGUAAACUUAAAUAAGUUAAAACUUUCAACAACGGAUCUCUUGGUUCUG